rfam:Danio rerio chromosome 4, GRCz11 reference primary assembly.
GACAAGGUGCCCGAGUGGUUAAGUUGAUGGACUGCUAAUCCAUUGUGCUCUGCACGUGUGGGUUCGAAUCCUAUCCUUGUUG